AGACCAAUUACGACCUCAUACCCCUUUUCCUUCAGUUAGGAGGAUGAUGUGGGAACAGCCAGGCUUGAGUUGCCUGGAGAAUUGUGACAGUCCUCACUUGUCCCUGGGGUUUGUGGAGGGACUGGGGACUCUCUAGCAUCAUGCCUGCAAGGAUGCCUUCCUGUGCCGUCCCAGCAGGGCCACCACCUCCUGAGCCAGGGGUCUUUGUUCACUAAUCUCUUUUUUAGGCUCAGCCCCACCUGUCACUGUAAGAUCUUGACCAGUCCUCAGGACAUAUUAUUCCAAAACCCAUGGAGUUCAAAGACAUUCCAACAAAUAUUUCAUAGUAAUGACCU
rnacentral:lncRNA from 1 species